GGUAAAGAAAGACUUACAAGAGGCAGAUUGUUGAAAGACAGUGGAGACUCAUCAAACAAUUGGCGUUACGUUCUACGUUCAAAUAAAGAAAAUUUGAAGGGUAGCGGUAAUGGUAAAAUGAAGAAAAGAAAGCUCCCAGACCAUGGU